AUCGAGGAGCCACAGACUUUCAGUAGAACUAUCAAACUGUUAUGCUUAACCGUUUAGUUAUUUGGUUUACUUUUAUAUCUCUGCUUUUUCUUUGUUCGUAGAUUAAUUGAAAAUUAGUUCCUAAUUUUGGGGAGCCAUGUAACGGUAGUUGUGCGAUAGACGAAGUGUUCCGAUUGCUAACUUUGUCUACUGGCUGUUUGUCGGCUAAUUUCCUAUUAAAGGGAGAAUUAAUUGAUGUUGUUUGUUGUUUCUCUUUAAUUUUGCCUUUACGUCUUAAGCUUGUAUAAUCUCAUAGUUUAUAUAUUAUUAGUUUGCGUAUUAAAUAUGUAGAUAUUUAUUCAGGGAAUCAAAUUAUGAUUAUAGGCAUUUAGUUAAGUUUAUUAUGUUUACCUAAUAAGCUUCCCUCAAAAUACGUGGUCUUUCGUAGAUCAUCAUGGCAGCCAAAUGCAUGAAAUCGGGAAAGGGGUGAAGUCAAAAAGUUUUCACGUAAUGUUUAGUGAAAUCUUCAGAAUGUACAUGUAAUAUUCAGUGAAAGCUUCAGAAUAUAAUAUUCAGCAUGUAAUCAAGUAUUAUUCAGCAUCGUCAGUAAUGAGUAAUAUUCAGCCAUGGUGUCUUCAGUAUAAUAUGUAGCACGUUGAUUAUAAUCAGAAUUAAAAGAGGAAUUCAUCCGUAUUCGAAUUCUCUCAUUAGGCUAUGUAGGCCCAUGCGUAUGCGACCUGAUUUGUGUAAGCUGAUGUGUGAACUGUUUAUAUUUGUAGCUGUUAUUUAAUAUAUAAAGUUUAUUACAUUGAAGAA